CCUACGGGAGGCAGCAGUGAGGAAUAUUGGUCAAUGGACGAGAGUCUGAACCAGCCAAGUAGCGUGAAGGAUGACUGCCCUAUGGGUUGUAAACUUCUUUUAUAUGGGAAUAAAAUGUUCCACGUGUGGGAUUUUGUAUGUACCAUAUGAAUAAGGAUCGGCUAACUCCGUGCCAGCAGCCGCGGUAAUACGGAGGAUCCGAGCGUUAUCCGGAUUUAUUGGGUUUAAAGGGAGCGUAGGUGGAUUGUUAAGUCCGUUGUGAAAGUUUGCGGCUCAACCGUAAAAUUGCAGUUGAAACUGGCAGUCUUGAGUACAGUAGAGGUGGGCGGAAUUCGUGGUGUAGCGGUGAAAUGCGUAGAUAUCACGAAGAACUCCGAUUGCGAAGGCAGUUCACUGGACUGCAACUGACACUGAGGCUCGAAAGUGUGGGUAUCAAACAGGAUUAGAUACCCUUGUAGUC
rnacentral:rRNA from 1 species